UUGCCUUAAACUAAUGAGUAAGGAAAACAAAGCGAGCGGUGAGAGCCGGUCGCGGCGCUAUUAUUGAUUUUGCGCAAGAAUUUGUGGAGGGGUUAUAGGCUGGUUCGAGCGUAGACGCUGCUUACUUUGCAGAACUCGCUGGAGCGGGCCUCCC